AACGAACGCUGGCGGCAUGCCUAACACAUGCAAGUCGAACGAGACCUUCGGGUCUAGUGGCGCACGGGUGCGUAACGCGUGGGAAUCUACCCUUGGGUUCGGAAUAACUCAGAGAAAUUUGAGCUAAUACCGGAUGAUGUCGCAAGACCAAAGAUUUAUCGCCCAAGGAUGAGCCCGCGUAGGAUUAGCUUGUUGGUGAGGUAAAAGCUCACCAAGGCGACGAUCCUUAGCUGGUCUGAGAGGAUGAUCAGCCACACUGGGACUGAGGCACGGCCCAGACUCCUACGGGAGGCAGCAGUGGGGAAUAUUGGACAAUGGGCGAAAGCCUGAUCCAGCAAUGCCGCGUGAGUGAUGAAGGCCUUAGGGUUGUAAAGCUCUUUUACCCGGGAUGAUAAUGACAGUACCGGGAGAAUAAGCCCGGCUAACUCCGUGCCAGCAGCCGCGGUAAU
rnacentral:rRNA from 1 species